CUUCUUCUUCGGCCUGUUCGGGUCCAGUGAGGCAAUGUAUAGAGGAUAGUUCCUCUUCCAGUGCCCCUGCUUCUUGCAAAAGAAGCACUCCGCCUGGCUUUGGUCGAGCUUGAGCUUCUUGGUCUGACCUUGUGCAGACGUCCCAACAUGCGGCUGCAUCUUCUUAUUCUUCUUCUUCUUGUUCUUCUUUCCUUUCUUAAAGGGUAGACGACC
rnacentral:lncRNA from 1 species